CACAUGCAAGUCGAACGAUGAAACCGCUUCGGUGGUGGAUUAGUGGCGAACGGGUGAGUAACACGUGGGCAACCUGCCCUUCACUCUGGGACAAGCCCUGGAAACGGGGUCUAAUACCGGAUAACACUCUGUCCCGCAUGGGACGGGGUUGAAAGCUCCGGCGGUGAAGGAUGAGCCCGCGGCCUAUCAGCUUGUUGGUGGGGUAAUGGCCUACCAAGGCGACGACGGGUAGCCGGCCUGAGAGGGCGACCGGCCACACUGGGACUGAGACACGGCCCAGACUCCUACGGGAGGCAGCAGUGGGGAAUAUUGCACAAUGGGCGAAAGCCUGAUGCAGCGACGCCGCGUGAGGGAUGACGGCCUUCGGGUUGUAAACCUCUUUCAGCAGGGAAGAAGCGAAAGUGACGGUACCUGCAGAAGAAGCGCCGGCUAACUACGUGCCAGCAGCCGCGGUAAU
rnacentral:rRNA from 1 species